UGAUGUGAAGUAAUCUGGCUAUGACAUCUGUUACCCCAUCAUUUGCCAGGGUUGAUUCAACUUAUCUGGCUAGUUAGGUAGGUGUCCGUUUCCUGUCUCAUUGCUCCAUGUAUAACCCUCCUGAAGCUACACACUUGGUGGAGAAAAUAACCUUCCUCUAUAAAGCAGACUGUUUUUUGGGUCAAGGAUAUGCAAGUAGCUACAUUCCUCUGCUAGAAUCUCCAAACUAGUCUCAAGAACUAGGUGUUACUUUGGAAUGAAUUUGUUAGAAAACAGAUGGCCUAAAACUGUAAUUGGUU
rnacentral:snRNA from 1 species